UCAUUUAACUCACUUUGGAAAAAAACUCCUUAUAGCCUCCGCCCGCAGUUCCCCUUACGCCAUGCCUGAUCUAAAUCGAUUGGCUCAAGAGAUCGUUAAGAACUGUGUUCCCUGCCAAAAAGUUAAUGCUGCUUUCUCUAAAGGUACUGGGGGAACUAGGCUAAGGGGAGACCGACCAGGUCUCUAUUGGGAGGUCGACUUCACUGAAGUGCGACCAGGACCUGUUGGUGUUCAUCGACACAUUCUCCGGGUGGGUAGAAGCCUUCCCCACAAAAACUGAAACUACAAAAAAACUCCUGGAAGAAAUCUUCCCACGCUUCGGAGUGCCUACCAGCUUUUGUUGCCCAGACUAAAGGCCCUUGAAUUCGUCCAAAAGACGGUGUGGAAACUCCUGGCAGACGCUUAUCGACCCGGAGAUCUCCAUGUGCCACAUCGGUUCCAAGUGGGAAACUCAGUGUACGUGAGGAGACACCAGACCAGAAACCUCGAGCCCCGCUGGAAAGGACCCUUCAUUGUCCUCUUGACGACACCAACAGCUAUAAAAGUAGAUGGCAUCUCCGCCUGGGUCCAUGCAUCUCACGUCAAGGCCGCUCCUCAGACUGAGAAUUGGACUAUGGAAAAGACUAAAAACCCCCUCAAGCUCCGCCUUCGCCGUGAGCCUACUGCUCCUACUGACUCUACUACCGAUAAGUAACCCUAAUCCCCACGUCCCCAAAAUAAUUAAAUGGGAAGUCAUAUCUCA